rnacentral:rRNA from 1 species
AUUGAACGCUGGCGGCAGGCCUAACACAUGCAAGUCGAGCGGAUGAAGGGAGCUUGCUCCUGGAUUCAGCGGCGGACGGGUGAGUAAUGCCUAGGAAUCUGCCUGGUAGUGGGGGAUAACGUCCGGCAACGGGCGCUAAUACCGCAUACGUCCUGAGGGAGAAAGUGGGGGAUCUUCGGACCUCACGCUAUCAGAUGAGCCUAGGUCGGAUUAGCUAGUUGGUGGGGUAAAGGCCUACCAAGGCGACGAUCCGUAACUGGUCUGAGAGGAUGAUCAGUCACACUGGAACUGAGACACGGUCCAGACUCCUACGGGAGGCAGCAGUGGGGAAUAUUGGACAAUGGGCGAAAGCCUGAUCCAGACAUGCCGCGUGUGUGAAGAAGGUCUUCGGAUUGUAAAGCACUUUAAGUUGGGAGGAAGGGCAGUAAGUUAAUACCUUGCUGUUUUGACGUUACCAACAGAAUAAGCACCGGCUAACUUCGUG